rnacentral:rRNA from 1 species
UACGUAGGGCGCGAGCGUUGUCCGGAAUCAUUGGGCGUAAAGAGCUCGUAGGCGGCCGGUUGCGUCUGCUGUGAAAUCCCGGGGCUUAACCCCGGGCGUGCAGUGGAUACGGGCUGGCUGGAGGCAGGCAGGGGAGAAUGGAAUUCCCGGUGUAGCGGUGAAAUGCGCAGAUAUCGGGAGGAACACCGGUGGCGAAGGCGGUUCUCUGGGCCUGUGCUGACGCUGAGGAGCGAAAGCGUGGGGAGCAAACAGG